UACUGAAGUUAACACAUUAAGUACUCCGCCUGAGUAGUACGUACGCAAGUAUGAAACUUAAAGGAAUUGACGGGAUCCCGCACGAGCGGUGGAUCAUGUUGUUUAAUUCGAAGAUACACGAAAAACCUUACCAGGUCUUGACAUUAUCCUGCGAAGCUAUAGAAAUAUAGGGGAGGUUAUCAGGAUAACAGGUGGUGCAUGGUUGUCGUCAGCUCGUGUCGUGAGAUGUUAGGUUAAGUCCUAAAACGAGCGCAACCCUUGUCGUUAGUUACCAGCACGUUAUGGUGGGGACUUUAGCGAGACUGCCAAUGAAAAAAUUGGAGGAAGGUGAGGAUUACGUCAAAUCAUCAUGCCCCUUAUGAUCUGGGCUACAAACGUGAUACAAUGGCUAUUACAAAGAGCAGCUGAAACGUGAGUUGUUAGCUAAUCUCAAAAAAAUAGUCUCAGUUCGGAUUGAAGUCUGCAACUCGACUUCAUGAAGUUGGAAUCGCUAGUAAUCGCGAAUCAGCAUGUCGCGGUGAAUACGUUCUCGGGGUUUGUACACACCGCCCGUCAAACCAUGAAAGUUGACAAUACCCAAAACCAGUCGCUUAACUACUUCGGUAGAGGGAGCUGUCUAAGGUAGGGUCGAUGAUUGGGGUUAAGUCGUAACAAGGUAUCCCUACCGGAAGGUGGGGAUGGAUCACCUCCUUUCUAAGGAAAUGUCGUAUCAUGAUCAUCUUCAGUUUUGAAAGACUUAGAGUAGAUAAGUUUUUCUUUUGGCGUAGAGGAAGGGCCUAUAGCUCAGUUGGUAGAGCACACGCUUGAUAAGCGUGCGGUCAAUGGUUCAAGUCCAUUUAGGCCCACCAUACCACAUUCU
rnacentral:rRNA from 1 species